rnacentral:tmRNA from 1 species
GGGGAUGACAGGGUUCGAUGGGUGGACCCAUGUUAUCUUUUACAAGCAUGUCGAGGUUGUACUUUUUCCUCGUAAAUACCAAAGUACAAAUUAUAAAUGCAAACUUUGUUAGCAAAGUAAAGAAUGCUUUGGCUUCUGCCUUUAGUGUUCCUACAUUUGCUUCUGUAGUCGCUUAAGUGCUUCUACCAUCGCCCCUCUGAUACUCAAUAGGGGUUAGGCGGUGUAAAUUAUUGAGUGUAGGUCAAAAAUUUCGCUUGAGAUUUUUUUCCGAAAGUAAUCCAAGCUUCAGCUCGUAGUUAUUUUGCUGAUUUUCUAGCCACGAGUGAAAUACCAAAUCAGCUACACAUGUAGACUGUAGGGGUAGCCCGCCUAGACCCGGGUUCAAUUCCCGGCAUCUCCACGA